CAGAAAGAGAGACGGGGGGAGAGAGAGAGGGGAGACAGAGAGAGGGGAGAAAGAGAGAGGGAGAGGGAGAGAGAAAAAGACAGAAAGAGAGAGGGGGGAGAAAGAGAGACAUGCUGAAUUCUGUAGAAUGAUUCUGAAAAUACAAAGGAAAACACCAAACAACGCAUGUAGGGCAGAAUUAGGCUGGUUUCCAUUAUUGAUAAAUGUACAAAAAAGAUCUCUAAAUUUCUGGAUGCACUUAAAUACAAGCCCAACAAAUACAUUGCACUUUAAAGCUCUGAAAACCCAAGAACUGAACCCCGAAAAGAGUCCCCUGAAGCAGCUGGCUCUGAGACUCACUAACCCUUUAACAAAUACUACGACCAACCAACCUCAGCCAGCAUUGCAUUCCAAACCAACAUGAGGAUAAAUCAGCUAUAAAACAAAGCAAGAACAAUUAUCUGAAACAUUGGAAGGCUGAAAUCAAAACUCAAAACAAACUAGAAGUCUAUCGGGCCCCAAAAACAAGCUAUGAUUUGGAAGAAUACCUCUUAACUGUCAGAGACAGGAAGCAGCGACAGAUCCUCCCCAAAUACAGGCUCUGCAGCGACCACAGUCUAGCCAUUGAAAAGGGGAGACACAAAAAGACGUGGUUGCCCAAAGAAAAACAAACAUGUGGUCAGUGCAUGGCAGAUGAGGUGGAGACAGAGGUGCACUUCCUCCUUAAAUGUGACAAAUUUGAAAAACAGCGCCGGGCUCUUGUCAAGGAGCUGGAACACGUGACUCCAGAGUACCAGGAAAUGGAGGACGCAGGCUGCUGCUCUCUCAGGCCAACAACAGCAUUCGGAUGGUGAUGGGAGUUAUGGGUACCCCCCUUUCCCCUGCCUCAAGAUACUCGGACUUUGCACUCCACUGUAUUGCCCAUCGGCCAUUUCCCAGGUACUACUACCAGUGGCAGAUGGCCAGUACAGGGCACUGGGGAGCCGCCCCCUUCAAAUAUCAAGAGAUGAAAAUCUACUCAAACAUGUUAAAUAUAAUUUAGUCGUAUAAUGCAAAUAAUUAUGAAAUAAAAGCGUUUUUCA